rnacentral:rRNA from 1 species
AAAGACAGCAGUAGCCGCGGGAAUACGAAGGGGGCUAGCGUUGUUCGGAAUUACUGGGCGUAAAGCGCACGUAGGCGGAUAUUUAAGUCAGGGGUGAAAUCCCAGAGCUCAACUCUGGAACUGCCUUUGAUACUGGGUAUCUUGAGUAUGGAAGAGGUAAGUGGAAUUCCGAGUGUAGAGGUGAAAUUCGUAGAUAUUCGGAGGAACACCAGUGGCGAAGGCGGCUUACUGGUCCAUUACUGACGCUGAGGUGCGAAAGCGUGGGGAGCAAACAGGAUUAGAUACCCCUGUAGUCCCUGUCUCUUAUAC